CCUACGGGGGGCAGCAGUGGGGAAUAUUGCACAAUGGGGGAAACCCUGAUGCAGCGACGCCGCGUGAGUGAAUAAGUAAUUCGUUACGUAAAGCUCUAUCAGCAGGGACGAAACACUGACCUUACGGUCAGCAGACGGUACCUGAGUAAGAAGCCCCGGCUAACUCCGGGCCAGCAGCAGCGGUAAUACGGAGGGGUCAAGCGUUAUCCGGAUUUACUGGGUGUAAAGGGAGAGUAGACGGUGCGGCAAGUCUGGAGUGAAAUGCCGCAGCUUAACUGCGGAACUGCUUUGGAAACGGGCGGAAUGGAGUGCGGGAGAGGUAAGCGGAAUUCCUGGUGGAGCGGUGAAAUGCGUAGAUAUUAGGAGGAACACCGGUGGCGAAGGCGGCUUACUGGACCGUAACGGACGUUGAGGCUCGAAAGCGUGGGGAGCAAACAGGAUUAGAUACCCUGGUAGUC
rnacentral:rRNA from 1 species